CCCACCCCCCGUGACGCCUGCGCUGCCGCUCCGGGGGCCAGGUUUCCAGCGGCAAGGAUGUGAAUUAUCACUGCGUAGAGUAACGGGGUUAAAAAGGAGAGCCCCCCGGAUCUGCUCCAAGCCACAGAACCAAGCAGGAGUUGAGACUCACAGAAGCAUCCAUGGGGAGCUCGGGGCCCUGCUCAGGAUGUUAUCUCUUCCUACACGUGGAGAAUGGCUGUGCCUCUGUGACCCUCCUGGGGAUCAUGCCUGCCCGUUGCAGCCUGUGCUACCCAGCCCACUGGCCAGCCCCUCAGCAUGGGCAUUAGUGCCUACACCUUACCAUGCAAAAAAUAGGGCAACGCAAAGGAUACAAAUCUUAACUUCUUCUUGUGCGCUAAUCCAACCUCAAAUCUAGGUUUUCAUUUUAUUCUUGGUAAAACAGACUUCCUAUUUCAAAGAAAAAGCACGACAAAAACAACAACAACAAAAAAAAACAAAACCAAGCCAAAAGCUCUUUCCAAGGCAUCUAAGGAUUCUGGCCAAACCCCAACUUGAUGAGUUCACAGUAAAUGAAUCACAGACCCAUGGUUUAGAGUCUCUCAAGAGUCCUGAGACGGCGAGGGCUUCACGGAGCAGCUGGCUACUCUGCCAGCUGAGUGGAGAUCAGGAUGUCCCAGAGCCCCUCGGACACCUCCUUUCCCUGGGCUUCACUCGCAUGGCUCAUGCGACUGUGUCCUCACCCACAGAGUAGAUGCCAUCAGGCGGGCCUGACUAGCAACCAGAUAGUAACCAGGGCACCCAAAACCCAAGACUUGGUUGUUGUUUAAUCGUUAACCUCCAUUCCAUUCAUUCCUGGCUGCGUUCACGGAGGAUUUCUAAGAAAGAUUUUGGGGUGGAGGUGCUCUCUGCAGAUGGUGUUUUCCAGGAAGCUCGGCUGGCUUCCUGAGAGAUGUCACACACUGGAACGUUUGUUUUCCAGUGGCUGGCAGGGGAACUCUGGAAUGACUCAAGUGAGGAGCUGAAUCAGAGAGGGUGGGUUAUGUCCUAAAACCACACCCUCCACUGACUUGGUCAAACCGUAUCCGUUUUAAUUACAGCUUCAGACCCUCCACCUCCCAAACCAGGAAGCCUUCCUCGAUAAACCAGAAGCCCUUUCCACCCCAAGUCACCCUGAUACCUCUGACACCCUCAUUUGCAUAUGUGGUUAGCUUUUUAUUGACAUUCGAGUGAUAUGUGAACAGCUUCCACAGGGCCCUCUGAUGGACUGAAAUGAUUGGAUUGCAGCUUCUUUAAAGAUCUGCUUGAGACGCAACCUGGUUGAGCCCCCAGAGCCAAUUCUCCAGACAGUCAGUCAACACCCGUGGACUGUGCACCACCAGCAAGGCCUUUUGCCAGAUACUGGUCAGUGUGAAUCAGAGAGGUGUUGAGAGAAGAUCUGACUCUUGGCGAUGGAGAAGUCAGGAAAGACAUAAAUAGAAAUUCCGAGGAACUCCAGACACAAACAUCCACAAACUGACCUACUAACCUGUGUGACCACGCACAGUAGAGGCAAGAGCUCCAUGCUGUCUUCAUCUGGCCAAGACCUCGAAGCCAAGGUUGUGGAGCCAGGCUCUUCCCCUCUGCCCAAGCAGGCCUGUAUGUGGAGCACACAUUCUCUCCGAUCCUGAGUGGAAACAAAACAACCUGUUCUAGACACCCCCCCAGCCCCUGGGAGCAAAAGGGGUUCCCCGGCCUAGAGGAGAAUACAGUAAUCCUCUUUUAUCCAGUUUCACUUUCCAAGGUUUCAGUUUUCUGUAGUCAACAACGAUUCCAAAAUAUUACAUGGAAAA